GAGUUUGAUCGUGGCUCAGAUUGAACGCUGGCGGCAGGCCUAACACAUGCAAGUCGAGCGGAUGACGGGAGCUUGCUCCUUGAUUCAGCGGCGGACGGGUGAGUAAUGCCUGGGAAUCUGCCUGGUAGUGGGGGACAACGUUUCGAAAGGAACGCUAAUACCGCAUACGUCCUACGGGAGAAAGCAGGGGACCUUCGGGCCUUGCGCUAUCAGAUGAGCCUAGGUCGGAUUAGCUAGUUGGUGGGGUAAUGGCUCACCAAGGCGACGAUCCGUAACUGGUCUGAGAGGAUGAUCAGUCACACUGGAACUGAGACACGGUCCAGACUCCUACGGGAGGCAGCAGUGGGGAAUAUUGGACAAUGGGCGAAAGCCUGAUCCAGCCAUGCCGCGUGUGUGAAGAAGGCCUGG
rnacentral:rRNA from 1 species